rnacentral:rRNA from 1 species
AUUGAACGCUAGCGGGAUGCUUUACACAUGCAAGUCGAACGGCAGCGCGGACUUCGGUCUGGCUGCGAGUGGCGAACGGGUGAGUAAUGUAUCGGAACGUGCCCAGUAGCGGGGGAUAACUACGCGAAAGCGUAGCUAAUACCGCAUACGCCCUACGGGGGUAAGCAGGGGAUCGUAAGACCUUGCACCAUUGGAGCAGCCGAUGUCGGAUUAGCUAGUUGGUGAGGUAACGGCUCACCAAGGCGACGAUCCGUAGCUGGUUUGAGAGGACGACCAGCCACACUGGGACUGAGACACGGCCCAGACUCCUACGGGAGGCAGCAGUGGGGAAUUUUGGACAAUGGGGGCAACCCUGAUCCAGCCAUCCCGCGUGUGCGAUGAGGGCCUUCGGGUUGUAAAGCACUUUUGGCAGGAAAGAAACGUCGCGGGCUAAUACCCCGUGGAACUGACGGUACCUGCAGAAUAAGCACCGGCUAACUACGUG